rnacentral:rRNA from 1 species
AGUGAACGCUGGCGGUAGGCCUAACACAUGCAAGUCGAACGGCAGCACAGUAAGAGCUUGCUCUUACGGGUGGCGAGUGGCGGACGGGUGAGGAAUACAUCGGAAUCUACUUUUUCGUGGGGGAUAACGUAGGGAAACUUACGCUAAUACCGCAUACGACCUACGGGUGAAAGCAGGGGAUCUUCGGACCUUGCGCGAUUGAAUGAGCCGAUGUCGGAUUAGCUAGUUGGCGGGGUAAAGGCCCACCAAGGCGACGAUCCGCAGCUGGUCUGAGAGGAUGAUCAGCCACACUGGAACUGAGACACGGUCCAGACUCCUACGGGAGGCAGCAGUGGGGAAUAUUGGACAAUGGGCGCAAGCCUAAUCCAGCCAUACCGCGUGGGUGAAGAAGGCCUUCGGGUUGUAAAGCCCUUUUGUUGGGAAAGAAAAGCAGCAGGUUAAUACCCCGCUGUUCUGACGGUACCCAAAGAAUAAGCACCGGCUAACUUCGUG